CAGUCAUGCUUGCAGGGAAUCAGCAAGGUGGUUUUCUUCCUUGUGCACUUCUUUGCUUGGCAGGUUAGCAUCAAUUUUAAUUGUCAUUAAAGAACUGGGGGAAUGUGGCUUCUUCGGGAGUGUUAUAGACCUUGGUAGAUGUGGCGAUUGGGAUUGAGGAUUGCAGCGAAUGCUUCUUGGCUAGUCACCUGGCUUCUGAUGGUCGCCUUGUUUCCGAUAGCAUGCUAACGGUGGUGAGACUCGAUUAUCUAGAUGUUAGUGUGAUCAUAAAU
rnacentral:rRNA from 1 species